rnacentral:rRNA from 1 species
AGCAGUCGCCGCGGUAAUACAGAGGGUGCGAGCGUUAAUCGGAUUUACUGGGCGUAAAGCGUGCGUAGGCGGCUUUUUAAGUCGGAUGUGAAAUCCCUGAGCUUAACUUAGGAAUUGCAUUCGAUACUGGGAAGCUAGAGUAUGGGAGAGGAUGGUAGAAUUCCAGGUGUAGCGGUGAAAUGCGUAGAGAUCUGGAGGAAUACCGAUGGCGAAGGCAGCCAUCUGGCCUAAUACUGACGCUGAGGUACGAAAGCAUGGGGAUCAAACAGGAUUAGAGACCCGUGUAGUCCCUGUCUCUUAUAA